ACGCUCGACACCUAGGAGGCAGCAGUGGGGAAUAUUGCACAAUGGGGGAAACCCUGAUGCAGCGACGCCGCGUGAGCGAAGAAGUAUUUCGGUAUGUAAAGCUCUAUCAGCAGGGAAGAAGAAAGACGGUACCUGACUAAGAAGCCCCGGCUAACUACGUGCCAGCAGCCGCGGUAAUCUGAGCGGCUGGCAAGGC
rnacentral:rRNA from 1 species